rnacentral:misc_RNA from 1 species
AUUCAUGCUGUUACUGGCAGUUCGCUAUCGAUUUGGAACAAAAUAAGGAUGACUGUUUUGGAAAGUGUGUACAAUUAAAAUUGAAAAAUAAAGAGAAAAUCCCGUCGACAAUAAACAGACGCAAAGCAAGACUCGAUGUGACAUUAUUUUAAGUGUAUUAGGGACUUGCGUUAAUUGAAGUUGGGUAAGUUGCAUAUGGGCAACGCCCUGGAGAGAACGUUAGAUUAGAUCCAUCCGGUAUCAAAGAUUGAGCGGUGACAUCAUCUGUGAAAAUCGCAUUGGGUAGGACUGUCUUGUUAAAUUUUGGAAUCGGGUGUGCGAGGCAAAUAUGAGUCAAGAAAUGGAAUGAUUUCCGAUAUAGUUAACUAAGUGAAGUAGGUUCAACGUAACAAUUCGUGAAAGGGUUGUAGAGCUGGUAAACGAGAGAGCGGACACUACAUGAAAACGUAAAGUAGCAAAAAUCCACAGCGCAAACUCAUUAUUUGUAUUGCUGGCUGUUUCUUGCUUACGGAGUAACAUAUCUCUAUUGCUUUUGACGCUCGGGGUUAAGUAGUUUUGUACACCACUGUCAUUCGGCAGUCGCCAUUAUUAAUUCUGGUACGAUAUUGGACGGGCGUAGUGAUUUUCUCGAAUUUGUGGAAGUAGGAAAAAGGAGUCAAAAGCACAACGGAAGCAUUUUGGUGAAAAAAAAGACAGUAAUCGUUGGAUGCAAUUUGCACCUGCUUUCGUGAACUAUAAACGAUUUUUUCGUCGGGGUGGUCUCAGAGUUUUCGCCUUGUCAUAUUUUAGGAGUACAUUUCUGAGUGAUUCAGAAGGAUAAAGUGCACCAGCAUAAACAUUCGUGUUCUUCCGAAGUGCACUGAUAUUGACUAAAAAUAUAAAAAAUAAUAUAUUCUUUCACUCCACUAAUUGGAAUAUAUUUUGAGUAUCAUCGAAAAUAAAAAAAAAAUACGGAAUAAUGACGACAGAUAUUUCAGUGGUACGCUGGGAUCCUAGCCAAGGUCCUGGAGCCGAAAUAAUUGACGAAUACGAAUACGAUGGAGGUAACUCGAGUUCCCGAUUGUUCGAACGAUCACGUAUAAAAGCUUUGGCUGAAGAACGUGAAUCUGUACAAAAAAAAACUUUUACGAAAUGGGUAAAUUCUCAUUUGGUUCGGGUAAAUUGCCGCAUACAAGAUCUUUAUGUUGACAUGAGAGACGGAAAAAAUUUAAUACGAUUAUUAGAGGUCUUAUCUGGCGAGAGAUUGCCCAAACCUACGAAAGGAAAAAUGAGGAUUCAUUGCUUGGAAAAUGUGGAUAAAGCAUUACAAUUUCUACGCGAACAAAGAGUGCAUUUAGAAAAUAUUGGUUCACACGAUAUUGUUGAUGGCAAUGCGUCUUUAAAUUUAGGUUUAAUUUGGACGAUUAUCCUCAGAUUUCAGAUACAAGAUAUUACAAUUGAGGAAGUGGACAAUAAAGAAACGAAAUCAGCCAAGGAUGCGCUUUUGUUAUGGUGUCAGAUGAAGACAGCUGGAUACCAUAAUGUAAAUGUCCGUAAUUUUACAACAUCUUGGAGGGAUGGUCUCGCUUUUAAUGCUAUCAUUCAUAAGCACCGUCCAGAUUUGAUACAAUUUGAAAAGUUGUCGAAAGCUAAUCCCAUUGGAAAUUUGAAUAAUGCAUUUAACAUUGCCGAAGAUCGGUUAGGAUUGACUAAACUUCUUGACGCCGAAGAUGUUUUUGUAGAACAUCCAGAUGAAAAAUCUAUCAUUACCUAUGUAGUAACCUAUUACCAUUACUUCAGCAAGAUGAAACAGGAAACAGUACAAGGUAAACGCAUAGGUAAAGUUGUUGGAAUUGCUAUGGAAAACGAAAAGAUGAUAAAUGAUUAUGAGACCUUCACAAGUGACUUGUUGCAAUGGAUAGAAUCAACGAUUAUUCAACUUGGGGAUAGAGCAUUCGCAAACUCGCUGGUUGGAGUUCAACAACAGUUGUCGCAGUUUGCGAAUUACCGUACAGUAGAGAAACCAACAAAGUUUGUAGAGAAAGGCAACUUAGAAGUUCGCUUAUUUACUCUCCAAUCGAGAAUGAGAGCAAAUAACCAAAAACCCUACACUCCCAAAGAAGGAAAGAUGAUCUCAGAUAUCAAUAAAGCAUGGGAACGACUUGAAAAGGCAGAACAUGAGCGAGAAUUAGCUUUGCGAGAGGAACUAAUCCGCCAAGAGAAGCUUGAGCAGUUGGCAGCUAGGUUUAAUCGAAAAGCUUCCAUGCGCGAAACGUGGCUUUCGGAAAAUCAGAGAUUGGUAAGCCAGGAUAAUUUUGGUCUUGAUUUGGCAGCUGUAGAAGCCGCAGCUAAAAAGCAUGAAGCUAUUGAAACAGAUAUUUUUGCUUAUGAAGAACGUGUUCAAGCUGUUGUUGCAGUUUGUGAUGAACUAGAAGCUGAACGUUAUCAUGAUAUCGAACGGAUUUUGGCACGUAAAGAUAAUGUUCUUCGUUUAUGGAAUUAUCUUCUGGAAUUGCUUGCAGCUCGUCGAGAUCGGUUAAGCACCUCAAUGCAGCUACAACAAAACUUCCAAGAGAUGCUGUACAUUUUAGAUAAUAUGGAAGAAAUUAAACAGCGUCUUCUUACCGAUGAUUAUGGAAAACAUUUAAUGGGAGUCGAAGAUUUAUUGCAAAAACAUUCUCUUGUGGAGGCUGAUAUCAACGUUCUUGGCGAACGAGUUAAGGUAGUGGUUCAGAAUUCACAACAAUUCCUUAGUGAUGACGUCAAUACCUACAAACCUUGCGAUCCGGAAAUUAUCGUUAAUCGAGUUCAACAGUUGGAAGAUGCUUAUGCGGAACUUGUACGGUUAGCAGUUGAGAGACGCAGUCGUCUGGAGGAAAGCCGAAAAUUGUGGCAAUUCUAUUGGGAUACUGCAGAUGAAGAGAAUUGGAUAAAGGAAAAAGAACAAAUCGUUUCCGCCGAUGAAAUUGGUCACGAUCUUACGACAGUUAAUCUAUUAUUAAGCAAACAUAAAGCAUUGGAGUCAGAAAUUCAAUCGCACGACCCGCAGCUACAGAAUGUGGCUCUUGUUGGAGCGGAAUUGAUUUCGAAAGGACAUUUUGGUGCAGAUCGUAUAAAAGAUCGCAUGACAGAAAUUCUUAAAAUGUGGGAUCAUUUACUCGAUUUGACCAAAUAUCGCCGACAGCGCCUGGAGAAUGCAGUUGAAUUCUUCCAACUGUUUGCAGAUGCUGAUGAUAUUGAUAAUUGGAUGCUGGACGCAUUGCGCCUUGUUUCUAGCGAAGAUGUAGGCCGUGAUGAAGCCAAUGUUCAAUCUUUACUUAAAAAACAUAAAGAUGUCGCUGAUGAACUUAAAAAUUACUCUGAAACGAUUGACCAGUUACACAAACAAGCUGAUUCUUUGAAGCUGAACGAUGCAGAGCAUAAAAAAGUUUCUAAUAGAUUGCAAGCCAUCGAUGCUCGUUAUAAGGAACUGAUGGAGUUGUCGAAAUUGCGUAAACAACGGUUACUCGAUGCGUUGAGUUUGUAUAAGCUAAUGUCAGAAGCUGAUGGUGUUGAACAAUGGAUCAGCGAGAAAACCAAAAUGCUUGAUACAAUGUCACCUGGUAAUGAUAUUGAAGACGUUGAAAUUAUGAAACAUCGUUAUGAUGGGUUUGAAAAAGAGAUGAAUACAAAUGCAUCGCGUGUAGCCGUUGUUAACCAAUUAGCUCGGCAACUCCUACAUGUCGAACAUCCAAAUUCGGAGGAAAUCCUUGACAGACAAAAUCGUCUUAACCAAGAGUGGUCCACAUUAUGUGAAAAAGCAGAGGCUAAAAAAGAGGAAUUGAAGUCUGCUCAUGGCGUACAAACAUUCUACAUUGAAUGUCGUGAGACUAUUUCUUGGAUAGAGGAUAAAAAACGAAUAUUAACAGAAACAGAUAGCUUAGAAAUGGAUUUAACUGGUGUAAUGACAUUACAACGUCGAUUAAGUGGCAUGGAACGAGAUUUAGCAGCCAUUCAAGCAAAACUUACAAGCUUGGAGAAAGAAGCGGAUUCAAUUGAAGGGGAGCAUCCUGAAGAAGCAGCGAAGAUUCGUGAAAGGGUUGCUCAAAUUCAACUGAUAUGGGAACAAUUAACCCAUAUGUUAAAGGAACGAGAUUCGAAAUUGGAAGAGGCUGGAGAUUUGCACCGGUUCUUACGAGAUUUGGAUCAUUUCCAAACUUGGCUUACCAAAACGCAAACAGACGUUGCUUCCGAAGAUACUCCUACUUCUCUUCCAGAUGCCGAGAAAUUAUUGAACCAACAUCAAUCAAUCCGUGAAGAAAUAGACAACUAUACGGACGACUAUAAAAAUAUGAUGGAAUAUGGGGAACAGUUAACUUCGGAUCCAACUCAAAAUGAAGACCCUCAAUAUAUGUUCCUGCGUGAACGUCUAAAAGCUUUAAAAGAUGGUUGGGAAGAACUACAUCAAAUGUGGGAAAACCGUCAGGUGUUGUUAUCUCAAAGCCUGGACCAACAACUUUUCAAUCGCGAUGCUCGUCAAGCUGAAGUCUUGUUAAGCCAACAAGAACAUUUCUUAAGCAAGGAUGAUACACCAAUGAAUUUGGAACAAGCUGAGAAUCAAUUGAAACGCCACGAAGCUUUCCUUACAACUAUGGAAGCAAACGAUGAUAAAAUUAAUACAUUAAUCCAAGUAGCGGAAAGUUUAGUAGAAAAGGAACACUUUGACGCUGAUAAGAUUCAUAAACGUGCUAUGAACAUCGCCCAACGGAGGGAAGACAAUACAACAAGAGCUGUGGAGCAACAUAAAAAAUUAAAAAAUCAGGUCAAAUUGCAUGAAUUUUUACAAGAUCUAGAGGAACUUACUGAAUGGGUACAAGAGAAAUAUUUAAUUUCUCAGGAUGAGACUUAUAGAAGUACGAAAACGAUUCAUUCCAAAUGGACAAGACAUCAAGCAUUCGAAGCAGAAAUUGCAGCUAAUAAAGAAAGGUUAUUUGAAGCCGAGAAAAGCGCUCAUAAAUUGAUUGAAGAGAAACCUGAAUUUAAGGAAAUCAUCGAACCGAAACUAAAAGAACUCGCUAAACAAUUUGAAGAUCUAGAAAUUCACACGAAAGAAAAGGGAGCCCUUCUUUUUGAUGCAAAUCGUGAACAAUUGGUUCAACAAACUUGUGAUGAUAUCGACUCUUAUAUUACUGAUUUAGAAAAGCAGAUCAUCAAUACCGAUACAGGCAAUGAUUUAACAUCAGUCAAUAUAUUAAUGCAAAAGCAGCAAGUUAUCCAAACACAAAUGGCAGUGAAGGCUCGUCAAGUUGAAGAAAUCGAUAAACAGUUUGAACAUCUACAGAAAACAGUUCCCACUGAAAAGAUUGAACCAAUUGUUGUCAAGAAAACAACUGUUCUCGAUCGUUUCGAGAAGAUCAAAGCUCCAUUAUUAGAACGGCAAAAACAACUUGAGAAAAAAAAAGAAGCUUUCCAGUUCUGCCGUGAUGUAGAGGAUGAAAAAUUAUGGAUUGAUGAAAAGAUGCCACUAGCUACGUCCACUGACUAUGGAAAUUCUUUAUUCAAUGUAAAUGUUUUGAAGAAAAAGAAUCAAUCUCUGUCGACAGAAAUCGAUAACCAUGAGCCUAGAAUCAUGGCAAUCUGCAAUAAUGGCCGUAAACUCAUUGAUGAAGGUCAUGAGGAAUCUGGACGCUUUGAAAAUCUAAUUAAAGAGUUGACACAAAAGUGGCAAGAAUUGAAGGAUGCCAUAGAUAGUCGCAAAAGACAUCUUGAUCAAUCAGAACGUGUUCAGCAAUAUUUCUUCGAUGCCCAAGAAGCUGAAUCAUGGAUGAGUGAACAGGAGUUGUAUAUGAUGGUGGAAGAUCGUGGAAAAGAUGAAAUCAGUGCGCAAAACUUGAUGAAAAAACACGAAACAUUGGAACAGUCUGUUGAAGAUUACGCUGACGCAAUUCGACAAUUAGGUGAAACUGCACGGCAACUUACCAGUGAUGAAAUCCCUCGAGGGGAUGCAGUGGCGGUGAAGCAAUCACAGCUCGAUAAGCUCUAUGCAGGUUUGAAAGAUCUAGCCGGGGAACGUCGAUCUCGUUUAGAUGAAGCGCUGCAAUUAUUUAUGUUAAAUCGCGAAGUUGAUGAUUUAGAACAGUGGAUUGCAGAAAGAGAGUUAGUUGCAGGAUCUCAUGAGCUUGGUCAAGAUUAUGAUCAUGUUACUUUAUUGUGGGAAAGAUUUAAAGAAUUUGCGCAAGACACAGCUGCUGUGGGUGGAGAACGUGUUGCAAAAGCAAAUGGAAUCGCCGAUGAUCUCAUUCGGGCUGGUCAUUCAGACUCAGCCACAAUAGCUGAGUGGAAAGAUAGUUUGAAUGAAUCGUGGCAAGAUCUUCUUGAGUUAAUUGAAACACGUACACAAAUGUUGGCUGCAUCACGUGAGCUUCACAAAUUUUUCCAUGACUGCAAAGAUGUCCUGGGUCGUAUUAUUGAAAAGCAACAUGGCGUCUCUGAUGAAUUGGGGCGUGAUGCUGGAUCUGUGUCUACGUUGCAACGUAAACAUCACAACUUUUUGCAAGAUUUGCAGACGCUCUAUUCUCAAGUGAAGCAGAUUCAAGAAGAAUCAACUAAACUUCAAGCUUCAUAUGCAGGAGACAAAGCGAGAGAAAUAACAAAUCGUGAGCAAGAAGUGCUUCAAGCUUGGGAAAAUUUGCAAGGAAUGUGUGACGGCAGGAAAAAGAAAUUGGCCGACACUGGUGAUUUGUUCCGGUUUUUCAAUAUGGUCCGAAUAUUAAUGCUAUGGAUGGAAGAUGUUGUUCGACAGAUGAAUACAUCUGAGAAGCCGCGUGAUGUUUCUGGUGUAGAACUGCUCAUGAAUAACCAUCAAAGUUUGAAAGCAGAAAUUGACACAAGAGAAGAUAAUUUUUCUAGUUGUCUUUCUCUCGGCAAGGAACUGCUUGCGAGAAAUCACUAUGCUUCUGCUGACAUCAAGGAUCGGUUGCUCCAGUUGACAAACAGUCGCACCGCUUUGUUGCACCGAUGGGAAGAAAGAUGGGAAAAUCUUCAACUCAUCUUAGAAGUUUAUCAGUUCGCAAGAGAUGCAGCUGUUGCGGAAGCCUGGCUUAUUGCCCAAGAACCAUAUCUUAUGUCGACCGAAUUAGGGCAUACAAUUGACGAAGUGGAAAAUCUAAUAAAAAAGCAUGAAGCAUUUGAAAAGUCAGCGGCAGCUCAAGAAGAACGAUUUAGCGCUUUGGAGCGGUUAACGACGUUUGAGCUCAAGGAAUUAAAGAGACGGCAAGAAGCAGAAGAAGCUGAACGCCAGCGGCUACAAGCUGAGGCCGAUGAGCGAGCUGCUGCUGAAGCAGCGGAGUUGUCAAAAAAACAGGCUGAACAAAUUGCUCGUGAUGCUGCAGAUGCAGCAGGAACCCCACAAAAAGAGCAUGAAACCGGCGUAUUCACAAGCGACCGUGGUAAACGUGAUAUUGUGCAGAAAAGAUAUCCAUCAAGAGCAUAUGAUACUGAUUCAACCCUGACAGGGCAGCAUAUGCCAUCGAUUUCAACUCGCAGUUCACCUACAACACCAACAAGUGGCGGUACAUUACGUAUAGGAAGAAGAUCGCGAUCGAAAAGUCCAUUCCGAAGUUUCCGUUGGAAAAGAAGUUCAACACGUUCUGGUGAUUCUGAUGAUGAAGCAGAACGCACAAGUCCCGGUGGCGAGGACGGAGUUGAAGGAGUUUUAACAAGAAAGCAUGAGUGGGAAACAACAACGAAAAAAGCAUCCAAUCGAUCUUGGGAUAAGGUUUACGUAGUUGCUCGCAGUGGACGUUUAACCUUUUACAAGGAUCAAAAGACAUUUAAAGUUACACCCGAACAAACGUUCCGUGGAGAAAUGCCACUUGAGCUGCAAGGAGCUACAUGUGAUGUUGCGAUGGAUUAUACUAAAAGGAAAUAUAUAUUCAGAGUGAAAAUCGCAAAUGGUGGCGAAUUUCUCCUUCAAGCUCACGAUGAUUCUGAAAUGAAUCAAUGGGUGGCCGCUUUAAAAGCACAGUGCGAAAGAGUGACAAGCGGUGAAGGACGAUCAAUGACUUUGCCAGCAUCAUCGCAGAAAGAUGAACCGAAACGACGAAGCUUCUUUACCUUAAAGAAAAAGUAAAUAUCAUUUAACAUUUUUCUCCAAUUUCGUAAGAAUCAAUUGUUGCAUAAUUGGGGGAGAAAAUGCGUUCGUUGUUAUAUAUAAUUCUUACAAGGGUUGCUAACUUCCUUAUUUAUUUACAAAAGACUGAUGCCACAAGCAAAACAUAAAAAUCCGCCCAUAAGCGAAUUGUUACGGUUUCGAUGGCUACUUAUCCGGCUGGCAUAACUCGAUUUGUGGUAUCUUGUUUUGCUUUCGAGAGUACUACUGAAGAAUGUCAGGGUCCGAAAUUGGUCAAGGACUCGUUGCUGAAACUACCCCACCCAAAUAUCUGAGAAGAAAUCCAUGCACAUGGUAUCUACUCUCCAUACCGAUAUAUAUUUAAAUAAAAUUAAUAGUAUAUUACCAUA